AUGCCCUGUUUCACGCUAAAAUCAUCCAACAACAAUAACACAACCUCUCAUCUUCUCACAUUAUUUCCCCGUUUCAUCUCUCUCUCUCUCUCUCUGCUUUUUCCCUCACACGAUUUUUUCUGUUCCAAAAUCAACAAAAAUAUGAAGAACAACAAUCGUAUUCUCUUUGUUCACACAUCCACGGUUUCUAUUGAUUUCUCUUCAUCCCAGUCACUCGGUUCUCCUUCUUUCAUUAUCGUAACAAAAAAAAAGAGACCAGAAUCAACAAAACUCGACCGAUUCUGGAAAUCAGGAAUAUAG